GAACGCUGGCGGCAGGCCUAACACAUGCAAGUCGAGCGGCAGCACGGGUACUUGUACCUGGUGGCGAGCGGCGGACGGGUGAGUAAUGCCUAGGAAUCUGCCUAGUAGUGGGGGAUAACGUCCGGAAACGGGCGCUAAUACCGCAUACGUCCUACGGGAGAAAGUGGGGGAUCUUCGGACCUCACGCUAUNAGAUGAGCCUAGGUCGGAUUAGCUAGUUGGUGAGGUAAUGGCUCACCAAGGCGACGAUCCGUAACUGGUCUGAGAGGAUGAUCAGUCACACUGGAACUGAGACACGGUCCAGACUCCUACGGGAGGCAGCAGUGGGGAAUAUUGGACAAUGGGCGAAAGCCUGAUCCAGCCAUGCCGCGUGUGUGAAGAAGGUCUUCGGAUUGUAAAGCACUUUAAGUUGGGAGGAAGGGCAGUUACCUAAUACGUGAUUGUUUUGACGUUACCGACAGAAUAAGCACCGGCUAACUCUGUGCCAGCAGCCGCGGUAAUACAGAGGGUGCAAGCGUUAAUCGGAAUUACUGGGCGUAAAGCGCGCGUAGGUGGUUUGUUAAGUUGGAUGUGAAAGCCCCGGGCUCAACCUGGGAACUGCAUCCAAAACUGGCAAGCUAGAGUAUGGUAGAGGGUGGUGGAAUUUCCUGUGUAGCGGUGAAAUGCGUAGAUAUAGGAAGGAACACCAGUGGCGAAGGCGACCACCUGGAC
rnacentral:rRNA from 1 species